UGGCUCAGGACGAACGCUGGCGGCGUGCCUAAUACAUGCAAGUCGAACGGUCUUUUCUAUGGAAGCUUGCUUCCACUGAGAAGAUAGUGGCGAACGGGUGAGUAACACGUGGGUAACCUGCCCAUAAGAGGGGGAUAACAUCCGGAAACGGGUGCUAAUACCGCAUAGUUUUCUUGAUCGCAUGAUUGAGAAAGGAAAGACGGCCUUUGUGCUGUCGCUUAUGGAUGGACCCGCGGCGUAUUAGUUAGUUGGUGAGGUAACGGCUCACCAAGACGAUGAUACGUAGCCGACCUGAGAGGGUGAUCGGCCACAUUGGGACUGAGACACGGCCCAAACUCCUACGGGAGGCAGCAGUAGGGAAUCUUCCGCAAUGGACGAAAGUCUGACGGAGCAACGCCGCGUGAGUGAAGAAAGGUUUUCGGAUCGUAAAACUCUGUUGUCAGAGAAGAACAAGUUGGAGAGUAACUGCUCCAGCCUUGACGGUAUCUGACCAGAAAGCCACGGCUAACUACGUGCCAGCCGCAGC
rnacentral:rRNA from 1 species